UACACAUAUGUUUAUCAAAAUAUGAAAUUUUAUUCAAUACAAGAGCGGCAAAGAAGAGAGAAUAUACCUUUAACCUUCAUCCCUUGGCGCCCCAAAUUCCUGGAGGAAUGGUUGGGGAAAGGGAGGGAGGGCCUGUGAUGGCAAAGCCAUCUGAAAAGUUUUCCUUAGAUUUCUUCAUGGGAGGGUCUGCAGCUGUCGUAGCAAAAAGUGCCGCAGCUCCAAUUGAAAGGGUUAAGCUUUUGUUGCAGAAUCAAGGAGAAUUAUUGAAGAGGGGACAGCUUCAAAAGCCUUAUGUUGGGGUUGGUGAUUGCUUCCAGAGGCUCUUCCGGGAGGAGGGCAUUUACUCAUUUUGGAGGGGCAACCAGGCCAAUGUCAUUAGAUAUUUUCCUACUCAGGCUUUUAAUUUUGCGUUUAAGGGCUACUUUAAAAGUCUCUUUGGUUGUUCAAGAGAGAGAGAUGGAUACAUCAAGUGGUUUGCCGGGAAUGUGGCUUCGGGAAGUGCUGCAGGGGCUACUACUUCUUUGUUUCUUUAUCACCUAGAUUAUGCACGGACUCGUUUGGGCACGGAUGCUAGGAUAUGCCCUAUCAAUGGAAAGCGGCAAUUCAAUGGACUAGUAGAUGUAUACUGUAAAACCUUGUCUACAGAUGGAAUCCCAGGUCUCUAUCGGGGGUUUGGGGUUUCAAUAUUGGGAAUUACACUUUACCGAGGAAUGUAUUUUGGGAUCUAUGACACAUUGAAGCCUAUUGUUUUGGUUGGUCAAUUACAGGACAAUUUCUUCGCUAGCUUUUUCUUGGGUUGGAGUGUGACCACUGUUUCUGGGGUCUGUGCCUACCCUUUUGACACCCUACGACGAAGAAUGAUGCUGACCUCCGGACAACCAGUGAAGUACAGCAGUGCCAUGCACGCCUUUCACCAGAUUAUUCAUGCUGAAGGUUUUACAGCUCUGUUCAGAGGAGUAACAGCUAACAUGCUUCUUGGUGUGGCUGGGGCUGGAGUACUUGCGGGAUAUGACCAGCUGUGCAGAAUUGUAUAUAGACCUCAAUAUAGCUUUAACUCUCAGAAAGCAUUCAAAUGAAUCUGCGGAUUUGCAUCAUUUCUCAUUGUUGAAUGGUGAAGUGCGACAAACCAUCAUGAAAAACCUGAUUAAGGUCUUUUCCUUCAUUGCUGGACCAUGGAAGGGAGAUCGAAGAUGUAACCUCUGACCAGAUAAUACUAUACCUACUCUGUUUGAAGUUCUGAAGAUCUCACGCUUUAAACAGAUCAUGGCUUAUGAAGACGCAAAAUUGAACGUGAUAUAAGUGUGAGACAGCGCCCAGUCGAGAGCCCCUUUGGCCUCAGCGCUCGAAUCCACCACGACCAUGACUCUGUUCCCGGAUUCUGGUAAUAAUUCAUUUCUUGAAGUGAAUUCGUUCGAAAUCCUAGAAUUAUCUCCUGUCUUAAUAAAACUUGCUGUCUUCUUGCGGUGCUGUAUUGGCGAACGGAUAUACGUAUGGACACGGGCGCAGAUUCGCGUCGCGGCAGCUCGGCUCAUUCGCAGUCCCGUCAUUGUUCUUAACUUCAUCUUCAAGGUAACGCUUCUAAAAAAUCUGUAUGUCUUUGUGCUCUGUGUGAAACUUGUCUGUCUAUACAUGUGUAUGUAUAUAUGUGUAUAUAUAUGUGUGUGUCUGUUUUUAAGGUAAUUAGAGAUGUUAGUAGAGGAAGUGUAGUGUUAGAAAGUUGGUUUUUGAUUGUGUCAAUGAACGUGCAUACCUCUCUGAAUUAUUAGGCUGGUUGUUGAAAUUAUUCUAAUGUCUUCAUUUGUGCCUUGUCAUCAUGGAAAUUGACCUUAGAAAUACUAUUUAUUGUUUUAAUUAAAUGUAUUUUUGUGGCA